CGAACGGCUCCGUAUAUCAGUUGUAACCCGUGGAGGCCAGGGGGAGGUCCAGUAAACUGGGCGCUAUCCCCGAAGGAUAUCCGAGGCAAUUCUUUGGCAUAAUACUCGAUGAAAGACCUACCGUAUGAUCGUAACAUCCCUAUCAGCGGGAGUGGGGGUGGGGGUGGUGUAAGCCUCCACAAGGGCAAUGAAACCCGUUCCUCAGCAUCCUGGACUAGGGGUCGCCUCAAUAUAACCAACGGGCUGUGCGCAGACACGGGCAGCCCUUUAGCACGGAUGAUCCUGAAGCGCCGACCAUGCCGUACCCAGUACGGCGUGCUCGGCGGACUUCUGCUCUAUCAACUAAACGAUAUGAGCACGCCUCACUGUGGUUACAACGGAUACAGAGGAUCAGGGUUCGAUCCUGGAGAGGAAGCCUUAAAGAUCGCUUCUACUUCUAAGGAAGGCAGCAGGCGCGCAACGUUCCCCAUGGGGAAACCCUGAGGACGUGAAGGGACAUAACAAUGCCCAGCCUUAUAAAGCUGGGCAAUUGCAAUGGGGCGGAUUUAAAUCCCCUUGCCGAGUAACAAUUGGAGGACAAGUCUG
rnacentral:rRNA from 1 species